GACGAACGCUGGCGGCGUGCUUAACACAUGCAAGUCGAACGGUAAGGCCCUUCGGGGUACACGAGUGGCGAACGGGUGAGUAACACGUGGGUGAUCUGCCCUGCACUUCGGGAUAAGCCUGGGAAACUGGGUCUAAUCCCGGAUAGGACUCCGGAAUGCAUGGUCAGGGGUGGAAAGCUUUUGAGGUGUGGGAUGGGCCCGCGGCCUAUCAGCUUGUUGGUGGGGUGAUGGCCUACCACGGCGACGACGGGUAGCCGGCCUGAGAGGGUGACCGGCCACAUUGGGACUGAGAUACGGCCCAGACUCCUACGGGAGGCAGCAGUGGGGAAUAUUGCACAAUGGGCGCAAGCCUGAUGCAGCGACGCCGCGUGAGGGAUGACGGCCUUCGGGUUGUAAACCUCUUUCAGCAUCGACGAAGCGAAAGUGACGGUAGGUGCAGAAGAAGGACCGGCCAACUACGUGCCAGCCGCCGCUGUAA
rnacentral:rRNA from 1 species